rnacentral:sRNA from 14 species
CCUGUAGUCCCAGCUACUCGGGAGGGUGAGACAGGAGGAUCGCUUGAGUCCAGGAGUUCUGGGCUGUAGUGCGCUAUGCUGAUCGGGUGUCCGCACUAAGUUCGGCAUCAAUAUGGUGACCUCCCGGGAGCGGGGGACCACCAGGUUGCCUAAGGAGGGGUGAACCGGCCCAGGUCGGAAACAGACAUGACUUUCUAUCAAAUAUUUUCAGGAAAGCAAGUAAUGGUAUGCAAAUUAGGCAAGAACACACAUUCAUGUAAAUGAUCAAUCACUUGCUCU